rfam:Arthrobacter sp. IHBB 11108, complete genome.
UAGACGUUCUUGAACGAGAUCUCCAGCCGCCCUGCGCCACCUGACUCACCUUCCCCGGAGCCAGGCGGAAGGCACGGCGCGGAUGGGGAUCUGGUUUAAGAGCACUCAGAUG